UGUCAUCUCACUGACAGCCGGGGCAAAGGGGCUUUGGUGACUUCUUGGAAAGCUGGAUGUGUGUCCCUGGAACAUGAAGGACUCGAUAGGCUGGGGUCUGAUUCAGCCUGGAAAAUCUAAAGGGCCAGAGCCCCUUACUGGCUAGCUGUGCUGAGUGUCGAGGGAGGAGAGGAGGAGCUGAAGGUGGCCUGCUCUCCACAAGGUGUCGUGGCAAAGGAUGUGGGCAAGUUUCCUGUGAACCAGAACUGGCUGAGGAAGUGUACCGCCAGAUGCUGGGGGAGUGAAGAAAUAGUGCAGGAAGAAUCAGAAGAGACACAACUCCCCGUCAAGCAAACUGCAGGUGCCCACCAGGAACAGGGAGCGGCUGGCUGCAAAGAGCCCAGGAAGGAACGUUCAAGAAGAUGAAUCCACUGGGAGACCCGGGGGCUAGAACACCACCAGUCCAUUGCAAGAUGGCUGCUGCAGCUCCAGACAUCACUCCUCACAGAACUUCAUUCAAUGGAAGAAAUGAAAAGGAAGACGUGUUCUCUGCAUCACUCCUUUGUUGUCAUGGAGACUGGCACUGCUCCUAGAGAAGAUGGUCUCUGCCAGCUCAAGACUGAAGUGAUUUUUAAAGCCAAUUGUCUCCAAGAAAAGAGAAUUUGCCUUCCUGAGAAUUCUAACAAAAUUCCCAGGGAAGACUUUGAUUGGCCUGGCUGGAUCACAUGACCAUUCAUGAGCAAAAACAAACAAGGCAAACAGUGGCCAGAAGACGAAUCCCCCUCUGCAUAGGACCCCACCCCACACAUGAACAAAGGAAGAGAAACCUUGCAAAGAAAGAGUAGUAGGAAAAUUAGGAGUAAAUUCAGAGUCAAAUGAUGUCACAGACACCAAGGAAAGAGAACUUUAACAUUGAGAGGGCAACUCUUUCAAAUGCAACUAUAGUAUAUUUUAUUAAAAUAAGGAACUGCAAUGUCUUCAUUGGAUUGGUAAAAUGUUGGGCACUGGUAACAAUGUUUUGGUAGGGUUAUGGGGAUGGGAGUGGGGGUGGAAUGAGAGUAGUUAUCAAUGGGCUUAAAGAGUGCAUAGAAAGAAAGAAACAAACAAAAUUGUAAAUGACCCAAGAAAUUUGGCAGAAAGUAGUAGAAAUAGAGAAGUUAUAAAGAAAGACAUAAGAUCAAGGUAAGAUAUUUAGGCUAUAAAAGACUUGAGUUAGUAGAUGAGAUGGGAAUCUGAAGAUAAAGAAAGAAAAAUUAUUUUAAAAAGGAAAAUUGAACUAAGUAAAAUAAUCAUUAGCAGCAUCAAGUCAAGAUGUAUGGCAGCUGAAAAUUCCUGAGUAUCUAAAUCCUCCUUCACCUUCAUGAUGACCGAAGAAAUAGAAGUCCUGCCAGCAUCUGCUACAUUCAUUCAUUCAUUUGUUCAUUCAACAAGUGUUUAUGAAACUUGGCCAGGAACCCAUCCAGCUGCUAGUGAACCAGCAGUGAACAAAACUGACAAAACCCCUGCUCUCAUGGGUAUUAAAUGCCUCAGAUACGUGAGUCCUGGCUCUCCCACCUUUCUGGGGAUCUGAGCUGUGCAUUCGACUCCCAGCUCUUUCUGAGCCCACAGACAGGUGUACCUAGACACUAGGUACCAUCUCUGACAGCUGGAAGUUUGGUUCCCUGAAUUACUCCACAAACUUCACAGCUUGCGAGCUGCUUACCCAUUACCUGAGCAGAGAGAGAAUAUAAUCAUUUCUAGCUCAUCAUCUUUUUCUCUUCCAUAUAGAACCUAGAGAGGGUUGGGGUAAAACAAAAUUUCCCCUACCCUAAGCUACUGGUAGAAUUCCCAAAAUAAGACGAACUUCUCUAGAUGAUUCACCUAAAAAACACUCCACACUUCUCCUGUGCCCCUGACAAAAACAAGCAAGGGAAGCUAUUAUUCUGGGCUACAGGUGGAGAUCAGAGACGGGCAUUCAACCUGAUGGAAGCAGAGAGCAAGACUUGAGUAUGUGGACUCUGGAAUAAGACCACUUGGGUUCCAAGUGUAGUGUCCCCACUUGUCAGCUUUGACACCUUGAGCAAGUUAACCUGCCUGAGGAGCAGUUCCAUAAUUACCAUCAUCAUCAUCAUCAUCCACCUACAUCAAGGAGCUGUGCAAAUGAGAUACAGUCAUUGAAAUGACCAUGUGGGCUGAGAGCUGGGGCCAAAAUGAAAAGAGAAUAAAGGCUGUAGGAGAAAACAUCCAACGGUCACUAGAUGACCCUGUGAAAUAGUGUUUACGUAAUGGUUCGCCCUCCUUUAGACCCACUCAGCCUGGACAUGGUGAGACAGGAAGGAUAAAAUUUCUCUGUCCACUUCAGAAAUUGAGGGUUGGUAUAAUUCAUUCUUAAUUCUUCAUGUCUGGGGCCAAUGGGCUUAUGUCAUAUGUUUAAAGAAAAUCUAUCUUCCUCUUAAAAACAUAAACUCAGUGCAACUAUGAGGUCAAAAUUUCAGCUAAAGACUGGGUUCCUGCAAAAUGUCCAUAAAGUGUCUUACCAUUUAUGACAGGACAGCUGUUGCCUCUUUUUCCAAGAAGGAAUUAAAGGAUCUUAUUACCCUAAAUGAGAAUGACUGAAGCAUGAUUAUUGUCCUUUUAAUCUUUUUCUCCCCAGUGGAAAUUUACAUAAGAUGGAGCUGUAAUCCAGUCCUUUCAUGCCAGCAGCGUGUCAGAAAAUCUCCCCUCUCAUGGUCUCCAUGGCAGCAGGUCUCAACCUGAGCCCAGGCAGCAUUUGCCUCGUGGAGCAGAUUUGACUUUCAUCUGGUGAAUGCAAUCAAUGCAGACAAGAGUGCUGGAUGCCUCCAACCAGAGAUUAUUUCUGGGUUUGAAUUCCAUGUGUGUUUUGGCUCUCUGUAUUGGUUAAACUCACCCGAUGAAUUCACGUCUGUUUGUUACUUUAUGUCUUGAUGAAAUGGCCCGAGAAGCCUCCUGGCAUUUUGAAUGCUGGCUUUCACUCUCUACCAAUGGUGGUGCUUUUUCCAGUUUUCGAAGAAGGGAGUGAUGCGACCAAGCACUUUCCGGAUCAGUGAGGACUUGCCUUCAAGUUGUUCUCUCGGCAGUGGACCACUCUUUCUCAGCUCAUCUUUUUGUGAUGUCCUGAAAAACACUGACCUGUGGCCACUGAACAGAGUUGAGCUCAUGAGGGGGAUGAGCUAUUGUAAAGCUGAGUGAGCACAGCCAGACAGGAAUUAGACCCGUGAUCCACCCUCAUGAGAAGUACCCAAUGGAGUGGCCAUGUUCAGCAUUCUCAAGUAGAAGUUAGGCUUUUCUAAAUGGGAAUUUAAAGCCUCCACUUGCUUUGUCCUGUGAAAGACCCUGUUUAGAGAAUGAAAAGACAAGCUGCAGACUAGGAGAAAAUAUUUGCCAGUCACAUAUCCGACAAAAGACUUGUAUCCAAACUACAUAAAAGCCUUUCAAAACCCAAGGGUAAAAAAGCAAACAAACAAUCCAAUGAGAAAUGGCCAAGAAGAUACGAACAGAUAUUUCACAAAAGUGGAGAUACAGACGGCAAAUAAGCAAAAGAAAAAUUGUUGAACAUAAUUAGCCAUUAGGAAAAUGCCAAUUAAAAACACAAUGAAAAAUCCCUACAGCUAAAGGUAAUGAAUUCCAUGUGUUUGCCAUCAUUGUCUGAAAUCACUCACACUUUGUAUUUGUCAUUCUUUUAUUUAGCCUUUUGAAACUUCGUGGGUGACCCUCAUAUUCCAGUCUAUUGGAAUCUGGUGA